GACAGAGGUGGCGAGCGUUGUUCGGUGUCACUGGGCUUAAAGCGUGUGUAGGCGGCCAAGUAAGCGCGUUGUGAAAUCCCUCGGCUUAACCGAGGAACUGCUUCGCGGACUGCUUGGCUUGAGGCAGGUAUGGGUGCGGGGAACUGUUGGUGGAGCGGUGGAAUGCGUAGAUAUCAACAGGAACGCCGGUGGUGAAGACGCUGCACUGGGCCUGUCCUGACGCUGAGACACGAAAGCGUGGGCAUAAAACGGG
rnacentral:rRNA from 1 species